rnacentral:rRNA from 1 species
UCGUGUCGUGAGAUGUUGGGUUAAGUCCCGCAACGAGCACAACCCUCACCUCUUGUUGCCAUCAGGUCAUGCUGGGCACUCUAGAGGAACUGCCCCGGUCAACGGGGAGGAAGGCGGGGAUGACGUCAAGUCAUCAUGCCCCUUACGUCCUGGGCUACACACGUGCUACAAUGGCCGGUACAAAGGGAUGCCACACCGCGAGGUAGAGCUAAACCCAAAAAGCCGGUCUAAGUUCAGAUUGGAGUCUGCAACUCGACUCCAUGAAGGAGGAAUCGCUAGUAAUCGC